CUACGGGGUGCUGCAGUGGGGAAUAUUGCACAAUGGAGGAAACUCUGAUGCAGCAACGCCGCGUGGAGGAUGACACUUUUCGGAGCGUAAACUCCUUUUAUAUAGGAAGAUAAUGACGGUACUAUAUGAAUAAGCACCGGCUAACUCCGUGCCAGCAGCCGCGGUAAUACGGAGGGUGCAAGCGUUACUCGGAAUCACUGGGCGUAAAGAGCGUGUAGGCGGGUUAAUAAGUCAGAAGUGAAAUCCUAUGGCUCAACCAUAGAACUGCUUUUGAAACUGUUAACCUAGAGAGUGGGAGAGGUAGAUGGAAUUUCUGGUGUAGGGGUAAAAUCCGUAGAGAUCAGAAGGAAUACCGAUUGCGAAGGCGAUCUACUGGAACAUAACUGACGCUGAGACGCGAAAGCGUGGGGAGCAAACAGGAUUAGAUACCCGCGUAGUC
rnacentral:rRNA from 1 species